UACGUAGGGGGCGAGCGUUAUCCGGAUUCAUUGGGCGUAAAGCGCGCGUAGGCGGCCGCCUAAGCGGGACCUCUAACCCCGGGGCUCAACCCCGGGCCGGGUCCCGGACUGGGCGGCUCGAGUGCGGUAGAGGAGAGCGGAAUUCCCGGUGUGGCGGUGGAAUGCGCAGAUAUCGGGAAGAACACCGAUGGCGAAGGCAGCUCUCUGGGCCGUCACUGACGCUGAGGCGCGAAAGCUGGGGGAGCGAACAGG
rnacentral:rRNA from 1 species